rnacentral:rRNA from 1 species
GACGAACGCUGGCGGCGUGCCUAAUACAUGCAAGUCGAACGCACAGUUUAUACCGUAGCUUGCUACACCAUAGACUGCGAGUUGCGAACGGGUGAGUAACGCGUAGGUAACCUGCCUGGUAGCGGGGGAUAACUAUUGGAAACGAUAGCUAAUACCGCAUAAUAUUAAUUAUUGCAUGAUAAUUAAUUGAAAGGUGCAAUUGCACCACUACCAGAUGGACCUGCGUUGUAUUAGCUAGUAGGUGAGGUAACGGCUCACCUAGGCGACGAUACAUAGCCGACCUGAGAGGGUGAUCGGCCACACUGGGACUGAGACACGGCCCAGACUCCUACGGGAGGCAGCAGUAGGGAAUCUUCGGCAAUGGACGAAAGUCUGACCGAGCAACGCCGCGUGAGUGAAGAAGGUUUUCGGAUCGUAAAGCUCUGUUGUAAGAGAAGAACGGGUGUGAGAGUGGAAAGUUCACACUGUGACGGUAGCUUACCAGAAAGGGACGGCUAACUACGUG